rnacentral:rRNA from 1 species
GGUACAUGGUAGGAGAGCGUUCUAAGGACGGCGAAGCUAGACCGUAAGGACUGGUGGAGUGCUUAGAAGUGAGAAUGCCGGUAUGAGUAGCGAAAGAUCAGUGAGAAUCUGGUCCACCGUAUGACUAAGGUUUCCUGGGGAAGGCUCGUCCUCCCAGGGUUAGUCGGGACCUAAGCCGAGGCCGAGAGGCGUAGGCGAUGGAUAACAGGUUGAGAUUCCUGUACUGGUUAAACUUGUUUGAACAAUGGAGGGACGCAGGAGGCUAUCGAUGCGUACUGUUGGAUAUGUACGUUCAAGCAACAAGUCUGUAGAUGAGUCAAAUGCUUAUCUACUUAAGGACAAGUUGUGAUGAGGAGCGAAAUUUAGUAGCGAAGUGAGAGACGUCACACUGCCAAGAAAAGCUUCUAGUUAGAGUUUAAUCACCCGUACCGCAAACCGACACAGGUAGUCGAGGCGAGUAGCCUAAGGUGAGCGAGAGAACUCUCGUUAAGGAACUCGGCAAAAUGACCCCGUAACUUCGGGAGAAGGGGUGCUGAGCGCAAGCUCAGCCGCAGUGAAUAGGCCCAGGCGACUGUUUAUCAAAAACACAGGUUUCUGCAAAAUCGUAAGAUGAAGUAUAGGGGCUGACGCCUGCCCGGUGCUGGAAGGUUAAGAGGAUGGGUUAGCGUAAGCGAAGCUCAGAAUUGAAGCCCCAGUAAACGGCGGCCGUAACUAUAACGGUCCUAAGGUAGCGAAAUUCCUUGUCGGGUAAG